UCUCUGGAAUGCAGAAUUUGCUGGAAAUAAAUUAUAAGGCUCUGCUAGACAGUGAGCCUGAAUUCCUAGAGAUCUGCAUCUGGACACGCAGAACGUAGAGACCUAAACAGGCCCAUCCAUGAGCUCAGAUUUCCAGCAUUACAAUUUCAGGAUGCCUAACAUCGGAUUCCAGAAUCUGCCUCUCAACAUAUACAUUGUGGUUUUUGGCACAGCUAUAUUUGUCUUCAUCCUUAGUUUACUCUUCUGUUGCUACUUA